GACGAACGCUGGCGGCGUGCUUAACACAUGCAAGUCGAACGGAAAGGCCCUGCUUUUGUGGGGUGCUCGAGUGGCGAACGGGUGAGUAACACGUGAGUAACCUGCCCUUGACUUUGGGAUAACUUCAGGAAACUGGGGCUAAUACCGGAUAGGAGCUCCUGCUGCAUGGUGGGGGUUGGAAAGUUUCGGCGGUUGGGAAUGGACUCGCGGCUUAUCAGCUUGUUGGUGGGGUAGUGGCUUACCAAGGCUUUGACGGGUAGCCGGCCUGAGAGGGUGACCGGCCACAUUGGGACUGAGAUACGGCCCAGACUCCUACGGGAGGCAGCAGUGGGGAAUAUUGCACAAUGGGCGGAAGCCUGAUGCAGCAACGCCGCGUGCGGGAUGACGGCCUUCGGGUUGUAAACCGCUUUCGCCUGUGACGAAGCGUGAGUGACGGUAAUGGGUAAAGAAGCACCGGCUAACUACGUG
rnacentral:rRNA from 1 species